UACAGAGGUCUCGAGCGUUAGGCGGAAUCACUGGGCUUAAAGCGUGUGUAGGCGGAUGCCUAAGUACCUUGUGAAAUCCCACGGCUUAACCGUGGAACUGCUUGGUAUACUGGGUGUCUUGAGCCACUCAGGGGCGAGCGGAACAAAUGGUGGGAGCGGUGAAAUGCGUAGAUAUCAUUUGGAACGCCAAUGGUGAAAACAGCUCGCUGGGGGUGUGCUGACGCUGAGACACGAAAGCCAGGGGAGCGAACGGG
rnacentral:rRNA from 1 species